rnacentral:rRNA from 1 species
GACGAACGCUGGCGGCGUGCUUAACACAUGCAAGUCGAACGGCAAGACCCUGCUUUUGUGGGGUUCUCGAUUGCCGAACGGGUGAGUAACACGUAAGUAACCUGCCCUUGACUUUCGUAUAACUUCAGGAAACUGGGGCUAAGACCGUAUAGGAUCUCCUGCUGCAUGGUGAGCGUUGGAACUUUUCGGCUGUUGGGGAUGGACUCGCGGCUUAUCAGCUUGUUGGUGGGGUAGGUGCUUACCAAGGCUGUGAAGGGUAGCCGGCCUGAGAGGGUGACCAGCCACAUGAGGACUGAGAUACGGACCAGACUGCUACGGGAGGCAGCAGGGGGGAAUAUUGUACAAUGGGCGGAAGUCUGAGGAAGAAACGCUGGGUGCGGGAUGACGGCCUUCGGGUUGAAAACAGCUUCCGCCUGUGACGAAGCGGGAGUGACGGUAAUGAGUAAAGAAGCACCGGCUAACUACGUG